ensembl:misc_RNA
GAGACAGACCUCAAGACCUCUCUUUGUCACCUCAAUAGCUACAGCCAGGCCAGCAGCAGUUCAUAUUUCCCCACAUGGCAUUGCCAAUGUGCUCCAACCUUACAUUGGAGGGCCCACCUUUAGGGGUAAGAAAGGAGCUCAGUCUUCAUGGCCCAUGCCAUCCACAGCCUCU